rnacentral:rRNA from 1 species
UACAGAGGUGGCAAGCGUUGUUCGGAAUUACUGGGCGUAAAGGGCGCGUAGGCGGCCUUGUAAGUCCUGUGUGAAAUCCCCCGGCUCAACUGGGGAACUGCACAGGAGACUGCUUGGCUUGAGUUCGGGAGAGGGAAGCGGAAUUCCGGGUGUAGCGGUGAAAUGCGUAGAUAUCCGGAGGAACACCGGUGGCGAAGGCGGUUCUCUGGGCAUGAUCUGACGCUGAGGAGCGAAAGUGUGGGGAGCGAACAGG